UGCAAGUUGAGCGCUGAAGGUUGGUACUUGUACCAACUGGAUGAGCAGCGAACGGGUGAGUAACGCGUGGGGAAUCUGCCUUUGAGUGGGGGACAACAUUUGGAAACGAAUGCUAAUACCGCAUAAAAACUUUAAACACAAGUUUUAAGUUUGAAAGAUGCAAUUGCAUCACUCAAAGAUGAUCCCGCGUUGUAUUAGCUAGUUGGUGAGGUAAAGGCUCACCAAGGCGAUGAUACAUAGCCGACCUGAGAGGGUGAUCGGCCACAUUGGGACUGAGACACGGCCCAAACUCCUACGGGAGGCAGCAGUAGGGAAUCUUCGGCAAUGGACGAAAGUCUGACCGAGCAACGCCGCGUGAGUGAAGAAGGUUUUCGGAUCGUAAAACUCUGUUGGUAGAGAAGAACGUUGGUGAGAGUGGAAAGCUCAUCAAGUGACGGUAACUACCCAGAAAGGGACGGCUAACUACGUGCCAGCAGCCGCGGUAAUACGUAGGUCCCGAGCGUUGUCCGGAUUUAUUGGGCGUAAAGCGAGCGCAGGUGGUUUAUUAAGUCUGGUGUAAAAGGCAGUGGCUCAACCAUUGUAUGCAUUGGAAACUGGUAGACUUGAGUGCAGGAGAGGAGAGUGGAAUUCCAUGUGUAGCGGUGAAAUGCGUAGAUAUAUGGAGGAACACCGGUGGGCGAAAGCGGCUCUCUGGGCCUGUAACUGACACUGAGGCUCGAAAGCGUGGAGGAGCAAACAGGAUUAGAUAGCCUGGAUAGUCCACGCCGUAAACGAUGAGUGCUAGAUGUAGGGAGCUAUAAGUUCUCUGUAUCGCAGCUAACGCAAUAAGCACUCCGCCUGGGGAGUACGACCGCAAGGUUGAAACUCAAAGGAAUUGACGGGGGCCCGCACAAGCGGUGGAGCAUGUGGUUUAAUUCGAAGCAACGCGAAGAACCUUACCAGGUCUUGACAUACUCGUGCUAUUCCUAGAGAUAGGAAGUUCCUUCGGGACACGGGAUACAGGUGGUGCAUGGUUGUCGUCAGCUCGUGUCGUGAGAUGUUGGGUUAAGUCCCGCAACGAGCGCAACCCCUAUUGUUAGUUGCCAUCAUUAAGUUGGGCACUCUAACGAGACUGCCGGUGAUAAACCGGAGGAAGGUGGGGAUGACGUCAAAUCAUCAUGCCCCUUAUGACCUGGGCUACACACGUGCUACAAUGGAUGGUACAACGAGUCGCGAGACAGUGAUGUUUAGCUAAUCUCUUAAAACCAUUCUCAGUUCGGAUUGUAGGCUGCAACUCGCCUACAUGAAGUCGGAAUCGCUAGUAAUCGCGGAUCAGCACGCCGCGGUGAAUACGUUCCCGGGCCUUGUACACACCGCCCGUCACACCACGGGAGUUGGGAGUACCCGAAGUAGGUUGCCUAACCGCAAGGAGGGCGCUU
rnacentral:rRNA from 1 species